CUGUCGUCAGCUCGUGUCGUGAGAUGUUGGGUUAAGUCCCGCAACGAGCGUAACCCUCAUCCUUAGUUACCAUCAGGUAAUGCUGGGGACUUUAAGGAAACUGCUAGUGAUAAACUGGAGGAAGGUGGGGAUGAUGUCAAGUCAUCAUGGCCCUUAUGGAGUGGGCUACACACGUGCUACAAUGGUGGCUACAAUGGGCUGCAAAGUCGCGAGGCCAAGCUAAUCCCUUAAAAGCCAUCUCAGUUCGGAUUGUACUCUGCAACUCGAGUGCAUGAAGUUGGAAUCGCUAGUAAUCGUGGAUCAGCAUGCCACGGUGAAUACGUUCUCGGGUCUUGUACACACUGCCCGUCACGCCAUGGGAAUUGGUUUC
rnacentral:rRNA from 1 species